CUCUGCGUGCCUCAGCUUCCUGAGCCAUCAACUGGAUCUCGUUUUGAUACCAGGUCUUACAGAGCGGUGUCGAGGUUCCCAGGCAAUGACCCUGCCGUCCCAUGAGUGCUUAGAUCCACAGUGCCCUCACUGUCCCUCCGCUGGUCCGAGACUGGCCAGGACUCUGUCCUGUGGUGAACAGAAACAUCGCGGGUGCCCACCGGCCUUCCAGGGUCUCGUGGGGAGGGAGGCAGCUCCCUGCUUCAGGCUCGGGUGAGCUGUGGCAGGGAAGGGACACGUGGGGGAAGUCAGAAGCACACAGAGCUCAGUUUGAAUCCUGAUGUCACCUGUGGGCGGGGUGGUAGCCUUGCUUUCCCCCUCUGCAGGUGUGAGAGGCCACCAUCACCGCUGGCUUCUCUGCAGCUGCCCCAGGACCCCCACCCCCUUUCUUCUCUGCUGUGCCCCAGCCAUGAACCCCAGGAAUAAACAGGAGCUUCUGCGUGCUCCCGGCCCC
rnacentral:lncRNA from 1 species